ACGCUGGCGGUGUGCUUCACACAUGCAAGUCGAACGAGGUAGCAAUACCUAGUGGCGGACGGGUGAGUAACGCGUGGGAAUCUGACCUUUAGAUGGGGGAUAACGGGUCGAAAGACUCGCUAAUACCGCAUAUGACGAAAGUUGAAAGGAGUAAUCCGUCUAAAGAUGAGCCCGCGUCCGAUUAGCUAGUUGGUAGAGUAAAAAGCCUACCAAGGCGACGAUCGGUAGCUGGUCUGAGAGGAUGAUCAGCCACAAUGGGACUGAGACACGGCCCAUACUCCUACGGGAGGCAGCAGUGGGGAAUUUUACGCAAUGGGCGAAAGCCUGACGUAGCGACACCGCGUGAGCGAAGAAGCCCCUUGGGGUGUAAAGCUCUGUCAGCUGGAACGAAAAAAAUGACGGUACCAGCAGAGGAAGCAUCGGCUAACUACGUG
rnacentral:rRNA from 1 species